rnacentral:rRNA from 1 species
GACGAACGCUGGCGGCGUGCUUAACACAUGCAAGUCGAACGAUGAAACCUAGCUUGCUAGGUCGAUUAGUGGCGAACGGGUGAGUAACACGUGACUAACCUGCCCCUUUCUCUGGGAUAACGCUCCGAAAGGAGUGCUAAUACCGGAUACUCACAUCGAGGCACAUGCCUUGAUGCGGAAAGAUUUUCGGAAAGGGAUGGAGUCGCGGCCUAUCAGCUUGUUGGUGAGGUAACGGCUCACCAAGGCGACGACGGGUAGCCGGCCUGAGAGGGCGACCGGCCACACUGGGACUGAGACACGGCCCAGACUCCUACGGGAGGCAGCAGUGGGGAAUAUUGCACAAUGGGCGAAAGCCUGAUGCAGCGACGCCGCGUGAGGGAUGAAGGUCUUCGGAUUGUAAACCUCUUUCAGUAGGGACGAAGCGAAAGUGACGGUACCUAAAGAAGAAGCCCCGGCUAACUACGUGCCAGCCGCCGCCGUAA